ensembl:lncRNA
AGAAGAGGCCUCACCAAAUCUUCAUCAGAGCAUGAGCAGGAUGUCAGCACCCACUGAGAGAAUCGCAGUUGACAGCACUAACCUAGAUACUUACUUGACAGUAUUCAACAGUUUAUUCUCCGUAUACCGGCCUGCAUUGAUUGACAGUUUCAUUGAAACUCUCCCUCAAACUUUAAUUUGCGUUUUGGUGGACAGACAGCACUGUGGGUGGCAAGGAGAUUUAACCAGUAUCGUUUCAUCUGCAUUGAAUGAACAAGUACUUUCUGUGAUCUCCUCUGUUAAAGCUGAAGCUUGCAUGUCAACAUCUAAUCUGCAAAUGGGAGACUCCACUAUGGCUCAAUUAAGCUCUCUUCAGAAGAUGUUGACGAAUGUUUUGUCCUCAGACCUCCCAUUUUAUCUGCAGUCAGACAACUUUGUUGCCUUAUGGAAUAGUUUUAUGGACAUGGCAUUUCUACCAGCGAUGUCAUUCAUGUCCGAUUUCAUGUUGAGGGCUCUUCAAACGCCAGUGGAUUUUCUAAACCUGGGAUUACAGUUUGGCAUUGAGAUCCCUACCCUAGACCAGAGUGAGAAGUGUCAACAAGGUGUGUCAUAGCUGUAGGUUAAGUUCAGUUCUUCAGUAUUGCUUGUUUUGCAUGUAUUAGAAUACUUUUUCAGUGCAGUAAGUGAUUGUUCUCGUUUUCUUAUGUCUUGUGUGUACAGGUGAUCUCAAACAGCUUAUCAUGUGGGGCAUGAAUCAUAAUGUAAGCUGGUCUUUUGGACAGUCACUUCUGGAUAUGUUUUUGGCCCCUGAAACUCCUCCUUGCGUUUUCCCAAAUCCAGAAUGCCAGGCCACAGGCAGCAUCCAGUUCGGUCGUAGUGCCGCCACCUCAGUGAACACUCCCACGUAUAGUCUCACCUGCGAACAGCAAAACCUGAACCAACUCAACGAAACCCUUUGUGCAGCAAUUUUAGGAGCAACAUCUCAGGAAUCCUAUGUCCUUUACCAGAUGUGUCAAGCACUCAGCACACUCUCUCAAACUGAAGUGAUAAAGGUCUGGAGGAACGUGUGUCACAUGAUCAAGAAUGUCAGCUUACCUCUCAUUGAGCCCUGCGGUGAUCCUGGCACCACACAAUCAAGUCGUAUUGCGCGGUCCACUCUCAGCCUCAGCGAACUACUCUGCGACUAUCAGAACUGGACUGUUGCUGAUGCUGUGGACCCAGCUCUGGUCACAAUGUGCAGUGAAAAUGAUCAUGCUGCAUUCAUUCUUGCGGUGUGUAACAAUGUUGAAGCUGUGCAAGUGCUGGUCAAAAAUCCUAGUAAUGCUUGGGUGUGGGAAUUCUGUGCAAACGUGUCAGACACGUACAUAGUGAACCUGUAUUGUUCAUAUAACAUGUGGACUGCUGAAACCAUCGACCCAU